CUUAUACUCCCUUCGUUCCAAAAUUCUUGUUUUAGGUUUGUCUAAAAAUGAAUGUACCUAAAUACUAAAAUAUGAUUAGAUACAUUUAUAUUUAGACAAAUCUAAGACAAGAAUUUUGAAACGGAAGGAGUAUUUA
rfam:Hordeum vulgare subsp. vulgare, WGS project CAJW01000000 data, contig: morex_contig_47275